CAACCUGAUGUGGGACUCGAUCCCGUAACGCCGGGAUCACGCCCUGAGCCGAAGGCAGACGCUUAACUGCUGUGCCACCCAGGCGCCCCAAGAGUGCCUGUUUUGAACAUCACUUGAUAAUUUAAAAAAAGUCAGAAAGUUUAAUGUUCCUGCAUCAAAAUGACCAUGUCAAAAUGUCAUAUACUCCUGAGAGACCGGGGCCUCUAGAAUCUUCCAAACAGAGAGGGACCCCUUGGAGCAGAGCCAUGUUAGAUCCAGCCCUUACUUCUCCCUUGUCAUAGAAAGCAAGGUGGAGCUGGGGUCAUGGAGGUGAGAAGGAACUGAGGGAAGGGGGAUGCCACCGAGGGGUUGUCUGGGUCAGUUGCCCGGUGACUGGGGCACCCUGUCCCCCAGGCCUGAGAAAACCCAGAGGUUGGGUAGCAUCUGCCCUCCCAUCCCCCCAUUGCUCUCCCCCAAGUCCAGCCGCCCUGUUCUCCCCCUCCACCUUGGCUGCAUGUGUGGUCAGGAGCUGGCAGGUAGUUGAGGCAAUGUGGUCUUCCCUCCACUCCACUGGAAAGUGUGGGGUGAUGCGUCUGGCCCUGGUGCUGGGGAUUCGAGUAGUAGGGCAGACUUCUGCCUGGCAGUGAGUGGCCAGUCCCUAGCAGACCUGGGGUCUUUGUGCACUAUCCCCCUCUGAGGAAGGAUGGAGGGACUAGGGCUCCCUUCCCUUCCUCUUCAUUCUCUUUCCUGAGAAGAGUCUCAGGCCGAUCAAGUGGGCACUGGUCAUUCUGUCCUUUUAGUUUCCUCCUCCCUUUCCUCCAGGUGACAUUAGUGAGCCCCUGCUGUACCCGGGUCCGGAGCCGGGCCACCUCCCUGCCCAGCUGCCUUGGGCCCUGGUCCCCCAGAAGCUCCAGGCCUGAUUUGGUGUCCAAUGGGCCUGAGGGGGCAGAAUCAGGCCCAGGAAGAUGGAUUUCCCUGUCCCCUCGGCCCCCGCCCAGCAGGGAAGGGAGAAGACUGCUUCAUUAUGUUUAAUGGGAUUACUGGGGGGGACAGUAGUCAUGGGGCAUUAGCUGCUAAUUGGGUCCAUAAUAAAGUUA
rnacentral:lncRNA from 1 species